rnacentral:sRNA from 1 species
CACUUUUACAAAUUCAAAGAAGAAGUAAAACCAAUAAUUCAAUCCUUAAUCACUAAAUAUAAGUCUCGGAUCAUCAAACGAGUAUAUCUCCAGAGAAUCGCUACAUAAAUCUCCAAAAUCAAAACCCGAUUUCGAAUUUCUACACACAUUUCCCGAUCAUCGAAACCGAUACAAUUCAUCAUCCAUGAUCGGAAGAGACACCGGCGAGAAAAUCGAAAAUCGAAAAUCGAAAAGAAGAAAUUAAUCAAUUCUUCAGAGAAAUCGAAAACAAACCUAGAAAAUAAAAUUAAGAAAUGGUAAUACCUCGGAAUAAAAAUCCGUGAAGCGAAGAAUCUAAUCGGAACUGGUGUUAUUCGAUAAAACUUACUCGCCAAGUUUCCGAGAAUUCGAAAACCCCUCUCUUCAAUUUUAUUUCCCCCAGAAAAUUUUAGCGUUCCCAGAAGAAAGAAAAAAAAAAGGGAGAGAGAGAAACAGUGGUAACUAAGUCUUCUUUGAACAGCGGCGAAUUUUGUGGGGAUGUAUUUAUAGAGUUUGACCUCGCUGACUUUUGACGGAAGUUUAAUUGAGAUCUUUAACGCCGUGAACUUCUCCACACGGUAGGGCAGAUACCGUUUCCGUAACGGACGCAAAUCUUUUAUCAGACGAAUCUAGAAAUUACCAAAUUCAAACAACAACACUUUUUGCUAGUGAAUUCUAUAAAAAUUGAAAUUGAUCGU